rnacentral:rRNA from 1 species
CUCAAUUACGCGAUGCCUAUACAUGCAGUCGAGCGGACAGAUGGGAGCUUGCUCCCUGAUGUUAGCGGCGGACGGGUGAGUAACACGUGGGUAACCUGCCUGUAAGACUGGGAUAACUCCGGGAAACCGGGGCUAAUACCGGAUGGUUGUUUGAACCGCAUGGUUCAAACAUAAAAGGUGGCUUCGGCUACCACUUACAGAUGGACCCGCGGCGCAUUAGCUAGUUGGUGAGGUAACGGCUCACCAAGGCAACGAUGCGUAGCCGACCUGAGAGGGUGAUCGGCCACACUGGGACUGAGACACGGCCCAGACUCCUACGGGAGGCAGCAGUAGGGAAUCUUCCGCAAUGGACGAAAGUCUGACGGAGCAACGCCGCGUGAGUGAUGAAGGUUUUCGGAUCGUAAAGCUCUGUUGUUAGGGAAGAACAAGUACCGUUCGAAUAGGGCGGUACCUUGACGGUACCUAACCAGAAAGCCACGGCUAACUACGUGCCAGCAGCCGCGGUAAUACGUAGGUGGCAAGCGUUGUCCGGAAUUAUUGGGCGUAAAGGGCUCGCAGGCGGUUUCUUAAGUCUGAUGUGAAAGCCCCCGGCUCAACCGGGGAGGGUCAUUGGAAACUGGGGAACUUGAGUGCAGAAGAGGAGAGUGGAAUUCCACGUGUAGCGGUGAAAUGCGUAGAGAUGUGGAGGAACACCAGUGGCGAAGGCGACUCUCUGGUCUGUAACUGACGCUGAGGAGCGAAAGCGUGGGGAGCGAACAGGAUUAGAUACCCUGGUAGUCCACGCCGUAAACGAUGAGUGCUAAGUGUUAAGGGGGUUUCCGCCCCUUAGUGCUGCAGCUAACGCAUUAAGCACUCCGCCUGGGGGAGUACGGUCGCAAGACUGAAACUCAAAGGAAUUGACGGGGGCCCGCACAACCGGUGGAACAUGUGGUUUAAUUCGAAGCAACGCGAAGAACCUUACCAGGUCUUGACAUCCUCUGACAAUCCUAAAAGAUAGGACGUCCCCUUCGGGGGCAAAAUGACAGGUGGGUCCAUGGGUUGUCGUCAGCUCCUGUCCUGGAAAUGUUUGGGUUAAUUUCCCGCAACCAACCGCAACCCUUGGAUCUUAUUUGGCCAGCAUUCAGUUUGGGCACUCUCAGGGUGACUGCCGGGUGACAAACCGGGAGGAAAGGUGGGGGAUGAACGUCUAAGUAAUCAAUGCCCUCUAUAAGACCCGGGGGCUAAACAUCCGGUUCCAAUUGGGGAAGGAAACAAAAGGCGUGGGU